CGUAUAAAACGUGCUGUGUCAGUAACCACACUUCCUCUUUGUGUGUGAUUCGGCUUUGAGAUGGCUGCACCAAAACAUUUUGGAUGUUCUAUUUUGUCUGUUAAAUGGCAUAUCUAUGCUGGAGGAGCAUAUGGGAGUAUUGUCUGCUGGAUAAAGGGUGCGGCAUGAAUUUGUCAGAAUUCCUCAAACACAAAGAUGGCUGCACCAAAACAUUUUGGAUGUUCUUUUAUGGCUGUUAAAUGACAUCUUUAUGCUGGAGAAGCAUAUGUGAGAAUUGUUGCUGGAUAAAGGGUGCAUCCCUCAAACACAAAGUACCAUCUGGUGGCAACUUACAAUGAAGACUGAAGGCUCACUGAGGUGUUAAUGUGCUCUUCUACUUGAGUGAUGGAAUCAACACAACGGGAAAUUGAGCCAAUGAAGAAACGAUAAUUGAAGUUUUUAUUUUUGUAAUGGAAAUUUUUUUAAUAAAAAAUGUGAAACAUUUUGAAAUGUG